CACGUAGUUAGCCGGGGCUUCUUGGUCAGGUACCGUCAUUUUCUUCCCUGCUGAUAGAAGUUUACGUACCGAAAUACUUCGUCCUUCACGCGGCGUCGCUGCAUCAGGGUUUCCCCCAUUGUGCAAUAUUCCCCACUGCUGCCUCCCGUAGGAGUUUGGGCCGUGUCUCAGUCCCAAUGUGGCCGGUCGCCCUCUCAGGCCGGCUACUGAUCGUCGCCUUGGUGAGCCGUUACCUCGCCAACCAGCUAAUCAGACGCGGGUCCAUCCCAUACCGUCUCGGCUUUCCCCUCCCGGCCAUGCGGCCAAGAGGAAUCAUGCGGUAUUAGCGGCCGUUUCCGGCCGUUGUCCCCCUGUAUGGGGCAGGUUGCCCACGCGUUACUCACCCGUCCGCCGCUCAGUCGCGACCCUUCCUCCCGAAGGAUUCCGGGGCGCGCUUCGCUCGACUUGCAUGUGUUAGGCACGCCGCCAGCGUUCAUCCUGAGCCAGGAUCAAACUCU
rnacentral:rRNA from 1 species